GUGGGGAAUAUUGGACAAUGGGCGAAAGCCUGAUCCAGCCAUGCCGCGUGUGUGAAGAAGGUCUUCGGAUUGUAAAGCACUUUAAGUUGGGAGGAAGGGCAGUAAGUUAAUACCUUGCUGUUUUGACGUUACCGACAGAAUAAGCACCGGCUAACUUCGUGCCAGCAGCCGCGGUAAUACGAAGGGUGCAAGCGUUAAUCGGAAUUACUGGGCGUAAAGCGCGCGUAGGUGGUUUUGUAAGUUGGAGGUGAAAGCCCCGGGAUCAACCUGGGAACUGCCUCCAAAACUGCAUGACUAGAGUACGGUAGAGGGUAGUGGAAUUUCCUGUGUAGCGGUGAAAUGCGUAGAUAUAGGGAGGAACACCAGUGGCGAAGGCGACUACCUGGACUGAUACUGACGCUGAGGUGCGAAAGCGUGGGGAGCAAACAGGAUUAGAAACCCGGGUAGUCC
rnacentral:rRNA from 1 species